GACGUCCGAUAUGGGGAACAUUUUAUUUGGAGAGAUCUUGAUUGAGCAUUAUUUUAUCUUCAUUUUCCAUUAAGGCAAUAACAUUCCCCCUGGAGGCAGACGGGGGGGAGAAUCGUCUGGGGGCUACAUUAAGUGCAGAUUAAGACAAAGCCAACCACUUUGCAAUCAAAUGCAUUAGAAAUACAGAUUAUGGGCUAGGAGAAGCCAUAUCUUGGCUUCCUGAGCCCACUGACAAGGAGCAGACUGGGAUAAUGCAUUUCAGUCUCUUUGAAAAAUGACUAAGUUCCACUACACACCACCCCUAAAGCAGAUACCUCCUCCAUGAACACGUUCACCAUGACAGAAGGGGUCUGGCAUCAGUGCCCAAUGCUCUGUUGCUAUUUAGCCUUUGGUAAGUUUUCAAGGAAAUUGCAGGCUAUUAGAACUGCUCAAGAGUACAGUGUUCCUUGGGUUUUGUUUAAGAAUUCUUUAAAUAUCCAGUAAAUUAACUCUUCAUAAAGCGACUGUGCCUGUUCCUAGCCAGCUUGAUACCUGGCUAGGUAUGUGUAUAUGUGAGUGUGUUGGUGGGGGUCAAGUUUGGGGUUGAGGUGGGGGCACUGUUCAUUGGCACAUAUGACCCCUGGGCAUUUGGGGGUACCAAAAAAGUAAACAUGAUCCUAUGGCCCGGCAGACAUCAUAUGCACUAUGAUCUAAGAGCUAAUGAAAUCAGAACAAGCAGUUCCCAGUCGCCAGAUAUUUAGCCACACUGUAUAACUAGAUCUAAUAAAACA
rnacentral:lncRNA from 1 species